GACGAACGCUGGCGGCGUGCUUAACACAUGCAAGUCGAACGGAAAGGCCCUGCUUUUGUGGGGUGCUCGAGUGGCGAACGGGUGAGUAACACGUGAGUAACCUGCCCUUGACUUUGGGAUAACUUCAGGAAACUGGGGCUAAUACCGGAUAGGAGCUCCUGCUGCAUGGUGGGGGUUGGAAAGUUUCGGCGGUUGGGGAUGGACUCGCGGCUUAUCAGCUUGUUGGUGGGGUAGUGGCUUACCAAGGCUUUGACGGGUAGCCGGCCUGAGAGGGUGACCGGCCACAUUGGGACUGAGAUACGGACCAAACUCCUACGGGAGGCAGCAGUGGGGAAUAUUGCACAAUGGGCGGAAGCCUGAUGCAGCAACGCCGCGUGCGGGAUGACGGCCUUCGGGUUGUAAACCGCUUUCGCCUGUGACGAAGCGUGAGUGACGGUAAUGGGUAAAGAAGCACCGGCUAACUACGUG
rnacentral:rRNA from 1 species